rnacentral:rRNA from 1 species
UACGGAGGAUGCAAGCGUUAUCCGGAAUCAUUGGGCGUAAAGCGUCCGUAGGUGGCUAAUCAAGUCUGCUGUCAAAUCGUGCGGCUCAACCGCAUUCGGGCAGUGGAAACUGGGUAGCUAGAGUGCGAUAGGGGUGAUAGGAAUUCCCGGUGUAGCGGUGAAAUGCGUAGAUAUCGGGAAGAACACCAGCGGCGAAAGCGUAUCACUGGGUCUGCACUGACACUGAGGGACGAAAGCUAGGGGAGCGAAAGGG